AUUGAACGCUGGCGGCAUGCUUUACACAUGCAAGUCGAACGGUAACAGGCCGCAAGGUGCUGACGAGUGGCGAACGGGUGAGUAAUGCAUCGGAACGUGCCCAGUCGUGGGGGAUAACGCAGCGAAAGCUGCGCUAAUACCGCAUACGAUCUAUGGAUGAAAGCGGGGGACCGUAAGGCCUCGCGCGAUUGGAGCGGCCGAUGUCAGAUUAGGUAGUUGGUGGGGUAAAGGCUCACCAAGCCAACGAUCUGUAGCUGGUCUGAGAGGACGACCAGCCACACUGGAACUGAGACACGGUCCAGACUCCUACGGGAGGCAGCAGUGGGGAAUUUUGGGACAAUGGGCGAAAGCCUGAUCCAGCCAUGCCGCGUGAGUGAAGAAGGCCUCGGUUGUAAG
rnacentral:rRNA from 1 species